rnacentral:rRNA from 1 species
CCUACGUGAGGCAGCAGUGGGGGCUAUUGCACAAUGGGUGGAACCCUGAUGCAGCGACGCCGCGUUGGUGAAGAAGCGCCUCUGCACGUACAGCCCUGUCAGCAGGGAAGACAAUGACGGUACCUGCAGAAGAAGCCCCGGCUAACUACGUGCCAGCAUCCUCGUUAAUACGUAGGGGGCACGCGUUAUCCGGAUUUACUGGGUGUAAAGGGGGCGCAGACGGCGAUGCAAGCCAGGAGUGAAAGCCCGGGGCCCAACCCCGGGACUGCUCUUGGAACUGCGUGGCUGGAGUGCAGGAGGGGCAGGCGGAAUUCCUGGUGUAGCGGUGAAAUGCGUAGAUAUCAGGAGGAACACCGGGGGCGAAGGCGGCCUGCUGGACUGCAACUGACGUUGAGGCCCGAAAGCGUGGGGAGCAAACAGGAUUAGAUACCCGUGUAGUC